CUUCUCUAUAAAAUGAACAGUAACACAUACAGCGAUUCACUUUAGUGAUCCUGAUGAGAGCCAACAGAGCCUCACAUCUCAAACAGACACAAACCACCUCCUUCCCCCAUUUCUCUUGUCCAUCAUGGUUUAUUUUCUUUAUGGCAGCUCUGGCCAUAAGCUGUUUGGGAUGGACUGUCUCCUGCCCUGUGCCUCAUGUUACCCCCUUCCCCACCCCACAGAAACCAGAAGCAUAUAUAUUUUCUUCUUUUAUUUUCAUGCAUUUUUUUUCCAAUUCCCUAUAGGGUCCAAGAGAAAGAAACUCAUGUAUGUUGUUUUAUGUCCAAGUUACAGCCAGUGCACCAAGCUGAAGCUCUGAAUGCUGUGGUGCUCAAAGCCCCAUCUAUGCUCUCAGGUUAAUGGACACCAGACCCAGAAACGAGCAUCCCACCCACCAUCAUUGGAGAAGCCUUGGCAAGGCCAGAGGUAACAGGACCUGAUGUUCCAACCCUUCAGAGCUGUCUUGAUUUCUCAUUGCCAAGGGAAGUCUGGGAGACCUCAGUGAGCAAGGAGCUCCGUGCCUGAGUGCCGGGAGGAGGUGUUGUGGAGGCAGAAGGUAGAUCUGUUUGGAAGCACUUGCAAAACAGCCCCCAGAUUUGCUGACAGCCACUGCUAAAGUAUGACCCUUCCCACACAGCGCUCCAGAACAGGGCCCUGCUCGGUAAGCCAGGCUCACUCACCUGCAGCUGACACGUUGCGUGCACCACUCCUCUCUCCUGCCUGGCAGCACUGAUGUUUUCAAGCUUUUCUUCUGCUGGUUCAAACUAGCAAAGAGAUCUCAAGGGGAAAAUCCCUUCCCUUCCUCUGGCACCUGCCAAGACUCAGGUGCUCCUGCCUGUCCCUUCCUGGUGUGGCACCAGCGUCAGCACCUGCGACAGGCUGUGAGCCCUCACCCCGGCCCAGCAGGUGCAUUCCCCAGCAGGGAGGUGGCUCAGCAAACCUGCUGCUGGCCUGGCCAGGCUCCAGAGGCACAGCUCCUUCCUCCCGCCUCCCCGAGCACCACUCCGCACUGCCUCGCUCCUGCAAGGUGGCUCAUUGCCUCCCAGCUGCAAGCAAAGGGAUGGAGGAGAAGCUCCAAGAGGAAAGGGACUGAUCAAGUGCAUGGAGGAUGAGAUCACCAGAAACAACUGCAUAUGAUGUUUGGACACAACCUGCAGCCUAGUGAGUCCCUGCAGUGCUGACUGUCAGAGACAGGGAUGAUGCACGAUGGAAAAGAUGAUCCUACAAACGCUUCAGUUCAAGCAGUGUUACUUCAAGAUUUCUCAGCAUGUCUGUUCUAUGUAUCCAUGAGAUCAAAGAAGUCAUUACAAAUACAGGAGAUUGGAGGGAAAACUAACAGUCCAACAACAGGUCAUAUAUAUCCUUCUCCUGGGAGAGAGACAUACAGAAACUUGAGAAAAACCCAGUGCACUCAAAGGUUCCUAAGACACGAACAGAUUUGUCCACGGAACAAGUAGCAACAAUGGGUCUCCGAAUACAGGUGUCCAGACCAGUGACUUCAGCAGAAUGUAAUGGGAAAUGUAGAUACUCAAAGUGAC